rnacentral:lncRNA from 1 species
AAUCUAUAUCCAAUUAUCAAUCCUUAAUAGAUGUCUGAAGAAUUUACGAUAUCCUCGCGAAAUUGAUUAUUCAAAGCAGUGGCGCGAGGGAUGCCUCUUCGUGACCUUUGACCGGAUGCUUAUUAAUGCUCAAUUCUCAGGGUACUGCUAGUCGAAUGCAUUGUCCACGCGCGGCACUCUACGAAAAUCCUUUAUCCUCAAAUCGCCGGAGAUAAUUUGGCUGGUGUAGACACGGCAAAUAUCUGUACAAGAGAUCGGAAUAAGGGUUGGCGUGCCGGUGAUGGUGAUAGCGGGCAGGGGGUGGCGCGAGGGGAGGGUCGGCGCGCGUGGAAAGUCUAUGUAGGUUAUAGGGGGACGGGAUCACUAAUAUAGGAGAUGUUUGCGAACCUGUUAAUAAUGCCGCGUUUGCUCGCCGGGUUAUUAGUGAUAGCAAACACUUAAAUUGUUCUACCCGUGGAUUAGUAAUAGGCGCAGCUGCAAAACUUCAGUUGGCUCCGGUUGCGCGCGCGAGCUUUUCUCGAUGGCGAACGCCUUGUUUCGCCGAGGAUCAAGACUCUCGUAAGCAAGUCGCUCGUGCGAAAUACCUUGCAAAUUCGUUUAAACGAUCGUUUCUAAAACGUCGCGGGAGCAGUUGCUUCAUGAUUAUUACCUUCACCGCUUAAUCGCGACAGUUACGCUAUAAUUGCAUCCAAAUGUUAUAGUCUAUGUUGCGCAUUAAGAAUUAUAAUAUUUAACUUUUUCCAGAAUACGCGAUGUAAGAGAAUAUCUUAAAGAUCUUAUACCGAAAAAGUACAUCUUGAAUAUUUAAAUAAAAUUUAUGGAUAUUUAUAUAUCUCCGAAUUUAUAUUAUCAAAAAAUAAACGAUAAAAAAGCAGCUGAUAAAACGACUUUUCCUUCACAUCAAUUUAUUCGGCUGCCGCGAUCGAAUUUCGAUAAGUCGCGUGUUUGUCGAGGUAUCGCCUGAGCCGCGAUACGAUCUCACUCUCGUAUAGCGUACAGGGCGCGGCUCGGUAUAUUCUCCGGUAACAGCUCUUCCUGUAAAAGCCCUUUCCAGGGCGCGAGCAGUGCCGGCGUGCGCGCGGCGUUAUAUCCCCUAGGAUCCGCCUUGAACACAUCCAGCGAAAACCAAACUGGUUUAGCUUUAAGCACGUUAGGUACCCCUUUAAUAGCUUAUAGGUAAACAAAAUUAACAUAUCUUAACAGCGUUAAGAAUUUCCGCGCACCGCGCCCCACCGCUGCGCAGCCUCGGGCAGACGACGGGGCUAAAGGGGUAAGUUUGUUAAGUAGCGACGAGCGCGAAACCGCCACGAGGAACGAUGCCGAAGACACGCGAUACCGAAGAUACGCGAUCCCCGGCACGUCGUCUCACAUUUUCCCGGAUGCGCCGGAUUAUGAUAGCCACGGGGCGGGUCGAUCUCAUCCGGAUCACGUGGAUCCUCCUCAAGAGUUUCGAGCGCAGUUAUCUCACGCUAAAAGCUCCGGACGGCUCAAUAAUUAUAUCUCGGAACGCGUUCUCAGCUCCACUCUAUUCUUAAUUUCACCUUCACCGAUCGGGACCAUUUGACAUGGCUCCAAAUCGCGUUUAUUCUCGGCGCAAUAAGUAAUAACACGGCUGAAUGCAUUGUCAUCGCUCUCUCUGUCACGGCGGGAUGCAGCCGCAUUACUCGUCGUCGGAUCAAACUGUGCUGGGCUAAUCCGUCGCGGGGCAAUCGCUAUACAGCGAAAAUUUAUGUAAGAUAUCUGCGCUACGAGAAUAGAGAGGAGGUUUCAUAAAGCGGGAGCGCGCUGCGCGGAUAUUUCAAGUUAACUUGAACAAUAUUGAUUCAGAACGGAAUGCGAAGGCGAAACGCGAUGACGGAUGAAUAUGCGCCGUGCGAUGCCGCGACAAAAUAUUUAUUCGCGACGGUACACGAUUUCGGAACAUAUUUUGGCAUCCGUUCGCACUUUCGUGUUGCUCAACGGUCAUAAAUACAUAAUGAGGAUCCUUUGUUUUAACGUAGUCGGGACGCGACGUGAUAGACGUGCCCGCCACCGAGCAUCGCGAGCAUCGCAUUUUGGCAUCGGCCAGCAAUAUAUCACCAUGAUUCAGCCAUCAGAACAGGAUCAGUCGCGCGAACCGCGAAUCCCACCGUGAAUUCCCUGUUGUCCGUGGCGGAACGUUACGAAAUAUCCGCGCGAGAAAGCCCACGCGGGAGGAUUGGCGUGCUGACAAUCGCCGGCGCGGUAUAAUUCGUCGGCCCGGCUCGAGUCGAACAUCGUUACAUUAAUAUUCUGGCAGCGCGUCGUCCUCCACGACGGUUACUUCACGGUGAUUUUAAUUUUUGCACAGUCUUUGUAAUGGCCGGCGUGCUCCGCGCCGAUCUUACGGAUUUCGCCACAAAAAUCGCGAAACCACGAGAAAAAAAAGAAAGCCGCCUUUGAUCGUUGCGCACGAUGCGAGCGCUUGUGAGAAUGUCGCGUUCCCGCUUGGACUGAGGCCGCGCAAGGAUCCUUCUGUCGAAAUUUACAUCGAACGUAAGUCCAGCUGAGAAAAAAUACUGUGACUCAUCAGCGCACGAGCGUGAGAAUGUAUGAGACGUAAAUUUAAAAUUAUUCCGUGAUCCGGAAUACAGGGCAGACGUUAGCGCCCACGAGAGGCGAAAAGAAGGAAAUGGCGAAACGAACGACGAAAGCGGGGCGAGAACUUGCGAGGGAGGAGGGAGGCAUUAAAACGAAGAAAGAAGAAGAAUCAAUGGUCCCGCAACGACGGCUGCAAAAGGCUUCGAGCCGAAGAGACACAAAUGCAUCGCGCUGAAAUACUCAACGACAGCGCAUUCACGGCGGGUCGUUACGGUUCUACUGGCUGAUCCACGCUAUCGAGUGUGCGUAUCUGCGUGGGAUGUGUGUGGGGUGCACUGUUCUCUGACAGCGUGUCCGGGGCGACACGUCGACUACCAAAAAUCACGGAAAACCAGAGCGGAGCGACCGUAAACGAGGCGUGCUACAUGCUUUGCACCCCAAAAGUCGCGAGGAAGAAUGCGAUUCUAUCAACAACGAGUGACUCGAUAAAUAACGACAAAUGCUGGUCGAUUAAUUUAAAUUUAUAGUCGACUAAAUUGCGAUUCGCUUCUUAUGGUGCGCGUCACGGUAUACGAAAACCGCGCGGAAUACAUCGGAAGUUCGUUGAAACUCGAUAGCUUCGACUGGACGGGAAUGCCGUACGAAUAAUGACGGGCAAGAGUGCGCUCGAUUACUAUCGAGAGUAUGUAUUUUGAGUCCCGUGAGUCAUGAGCGAUGACGGUGUGUCGUCGUCGUCGUUGUCGGCUGUACACUCGUGUGGCUCGCGUAGAGUCAAUGCCAGAAAUAAUAUCGGUAUACUCGUACUCGCACAUAGAGGCGGGGGUGAUGUCCUAACAUCAUCGGUUAACGAACUAUAUUUAUCCGCGCGGCGGGUUCAUCCACGGCGGCUUCUUUCUCCUUUCCUUCCGUCGCGCCCUCUCCACCCCUCCUGCCACUCCGUUACCGUUCUCCACGUUCCUCCGCCGCGUCUCGUCCGCAUCCCUCAACUUGCUCUUGUUCCUCUCGCGGUCUCGUCCCCUUUCUCCUCAUGAUCCUCUGCUUCUUUGUGACAGACAAGAAUUCGAGAUACACGAAAUCCGCACUUUCCAAAUUGGCGCAUUCACAACCUUUCGGGCCCCCGGAAUUAUUCAUGAGCCCGCUGAAAAGCCAGGCCGCGACGAGUCGCGAUGGUAUUAAGAUGUCGUAUGUAUUUGUUGAGAUAUUCGUGGUGUUCGCGAGACGUUGCUGCACGUCGCUAAAACUCGCGUGUGCAACCUUGUGCGCCGGAAUUAAUUCCGAGUCCACUGGAAAGCCGGCUCCGCCGGGCGAUUAUUUUGAAACGCGCCGCGCUGCGUUGCGACGCGUUAAAGAAAGCGCGCCGCGCGAAUUCCAUAUUCGCGAAUAAUACCUCGGGCAAGACUUCGGAACGCGGCGUUACGCGACGCGCCGAUAAUUAUCGACACUCUGGUGCAUGGCAUUUCCAUACGUGAUAAAUGGUACGAUACAGUAAAUUCGGAAUCCAGCGAUUCGAUAUUCGAUACCCUAUCGUAGCACGAAAUAAAAAGUACGCGACGUGUUACUUUCACGGGUACCUUUUGCAGUUCGAUCGUGAAAGUUCAUGGUUUUCACACGAAAAAUUGGGAAUGCCCGCGGCGCGUUAUCGCCCUCUCGAACGCGCUCGCACUUUUGCAAAUGACCCGAUACCUCUCGCUCGAUACCAAGUCGAGACAGAUGUGGACGCAAGCGGAGCUAGCUAGGGAAAGUAAAAGCUGAGAGACGAACUACCUGGUGCACCACAUGCAUCACGUGUAUAUCUUAAUCACUACAAUUACCGGUUUGAUGCUUGAUUUACGUGUUACCGAUAACAGGAACAAAGAGAAAUCGCGGAACCCCCAGGGUUACGAAGGCAUAACUCUCAAAUUAUCGUGGAGCGUUCUCCCGACCUAUGUUGCUACGUUCUCGAUUCAAACUCGAAAGAUCGCAGGUAGUCGAUCAAUUUGUGGGAAACAAAAAAUGACGAAGAAAAGAAAUUCGAAAAAUGAACGCGGCGUGUAUGUAUUUGUUAUCCCUCGAUCACUAAAGAGCCCCAGAUAAAUACACAGCCCCCUGCCAUCCUGGGCCUGACUAGAGGAAGGGGGGGAAGGGGGGAUUAUACGGGGGCCGGUGAUAAACAGUGUCGCUCAUUCACAAUGGCCGGCAAACACGCAUUAAAGCGGACUAAUAUGAAGUGUAUUAAUGCACGCGGCAUUGUCUAACCCACGGCGUACACGGCUACUGUCGUGAGGCCCCGGCUUUAUCCCGCCGUGGGGGGCCCGGCGGUGCCCGCGCGCAUGCAUACGGGGCCCCUGCGAUAUACUCGGUGACUUUUUAAGGAGCCCCGCGACGCGAUGCCGGGUGGGAGGUAUUUACUUAUCAUUAUGCGGAUUUUAUUACCGGAACGCGACGACCGUUCCUCCGAAGAGGCGUUACAAAUGCGUUUCGCGGCUUCGAAUCUGUAAUCCGCGCGAGAGUGCCCCUGCGAGUAUCCUUUUUGUAUCGUGGCGAAGAUCCGAUAGCGAUCGGGAGCUUUUAUUAGCUUUCUCCCCCGCCGAUCUAAUCGCGUUUCGAGCGUAUAUAGUGAACGGGAUAAGUGCGGCGAAGGCGAGUGCGAGCAAGCGAGCGAGUGAUACAUGGAUCCGAGGAGGAAUGCGAAGGAACUCUCUAUGGUCCUCGCCGGCACAUUAUGCGAGUGCGACGAUUGCCGCGGCGCUUAUUUAUGCGAUUUAGCAUUGUGGCCACAAUGCUAAAUAAGCUGCAACGGUUAGCGGCAUAUACGGCAUUCGAAGCACGAGUUUCGUAAACGUUAAUUUCCUCCUACUGUCACAUGUUGGAGCAUUGAUGUUAAUUUUUCAACGAUAAUUCCCGGCGAAGAUAGAUCGGGCAAUAUUUUUCUCUCGGGAACUGUAUGCGCGCCGCGUGCACGUCGGUGCGAAUGAAAAGGCAUCUGAAAGACUGUUCAAGCGUAAAAACGUGACGCACACCCCGUAUGAGACCAAUCGCAGGGUGCUGCAAGCUAGUUCUGCCCACCGGUCUAAAUUAUGGGGUCGCCGGCUAGCUCGCGCCACGCAUAAAUGAUUGCUCGUGUUAUGUUAAACAUCCGGGCAUGGAGAGCUGCCCCGAGAGCUCACCCACGAGACACCCGAUGGAGGUGGACGAGGAGCGGUUGGAUAAAAGAGGAAGAGGUGGAGGCGAAAGUUAUUUAUCUCGAGCAGUCGCAUGAGCAAGGAUUUUGAAUAAUUCCUACCGGUGGAAGAGACGGUGAAUGUUGCCCCGUAGGACACGUCAAGUUAUCCAUAAAUACUCCUUAAACUCCGACAACAUUUUUAAACUGCGCGUUCGCACAAAAACUCACGAUAUGAUCCUUAGCAAUUUCAAUUUCAAUUUCAUGUAAUCAUUGUAACAAUAGUAACGUUCAUUAAUAAAGAGUACAGCGUAUCUUGAAAAAAUA